CCAAUGUUUUGUAAAUGUUUAGGAAAUCUCUUGUAUUUUAAAAUAUUUAUCUUUUUUCUUUGCAAUUGUAUGUUUCUCAUACAACAUGUAUCGAGUAUUAAUUUGGUAGAACAUAUAAACAUGAGCUUAUAUGACAACACUUAUUAUCAAAAUUUACAAUUGUUGGAAAACAUAGUUUAAAAAAACUAAACACUAAUAAAUUAAAAUAAUUGUAUAUGCUAUCUACGAGUUUAUAUUAACAAAAUCCAACAAUAUAUAACUUCUUAAUAUCAAAUCUAUUUAUAUAAAGUAGUGUUUUCUCUCCUGUGAGAGAGACACGUCACUAAGCACACAUGUCAUGCUAUUAACGAUUUACGAUCGUUUCUUUUGGGCUGCUAUCUAGGCUUCAUAAUUAUUAGUUCAUGUUGUAUUCUGUAAAGUGCUCGGUCCCCUAUAGGAGCCUCCGCCAUCAACGUACAUUCCUUCAUCGAAAGUUCGGAACCCUACUCUGUUCAUCUUCCUAAUUGCAAUAAACUGAAAACUUUUAGUGGUUUCUUUUUUGAAACUGAAACAUUUAGUAGUUGCGCUCCCUCAUUUACUGCCUUCGCAAAAAAUUCAAACUAUAAAAAGCUCUGUUCAAAAUUGUGCUAGGUGCUAGUCGGGCAGUGACCUCGGGCCUAGCGAGUUACCAAAAAAUCGGGGAUUAAGCGGGAUAUACGCGGGGAUUAGUUUUUUAUUUUUUUUAGUUUUAUUUCAAACUAAAAUUAAAAUAUAAUGUAAACAUACAUUAUAAUGUGAUAGUUUCUGUGUACUGAAAUUAUCAAUAACUAACUUUAAUAAAAUCAGUUGUUAAAUAUAAAUAUAUUAAUUAUGGAUCAGGUUUUGUACUUUUAUUAUAUUUACAUGCGUAUAUAUAUUAUCAUUUUCGACUCAUUACCAAGGGUUUGCUGUCUCCUAGUGGUCCAGACCAUGUAAUUAUUUUCGCAUUAUUAUAUUCUAGAAGGAAGAAAGUCCCACAUCGGUUACACAAAGGAAAAGGGGGUGAAAUGUUACUCUAUAUAUACUUGUCUCCUCGCUUGGUAAUAGAUAAGAUAAGAUAUGGGCUUUCUGUUAAACCCAAAAUAUCUUACAGUUUAAUUAUUGGGCCGAAUAAUCACCGAUUAGUCGGUUAAUGGGCCGAUUAAUUGAAAUCUGGGCCGAUUAAUUGGCUCUCGGUUUUAUUGCCCGGUUUGGGCAAAAUCGCGGCGGAGAAGGUCCGGGUAGCGCCUAGUCGGGCGCCUAUGCGGCUGGGCGCCCGCGUUUUAGAACAGGGAUAAAAAGUAUGCUUGACCCGUGAAAUGCAUUAGUUCUUUCUUCACAUUCAUCAGCUUUCUAAGAAAUCAAAGUCGAUAAUGGCUAAUUCUUCUGUCUUCCUCGCCGAUUUGAAGGCUAGCCGCUGCACCUCCACCACCGAGGUCCGUUUGUUUAGGUUCUGGGAAGCUAGGAAUAUUAAGCGUGCCAGCGAGGGUCGACAUGCUCUUCCUGGACGCAAGGUAAAUCGGCUUGACUAUGUAGUUUUUUUUGUUUCUUAAUCCUUCCUCGCGUUGUUGGUGUUUUGGUUAUGAAACUUUCAAAUCUAAUAGUAGUUCUUCACUAGAGAUCAUUUUGUUCAUGUAUUCGUAAUCAAAAUAGUUUUCUUUUUCUUUUUUGUUUUUAGUCCUUUCUCGCUUUGUUGGUGUUUUGAUUAUCAAACUUUUAAAUCUAAUAGCUCUUCACCGGAUAUCAAUACGUUCAUGUCUUUGUUAUUCUCCAGAAGUUUUGUUACUUUCAAAUAUUUGGGAUAUGAUCAUUGUUGUGAUUGUUGAUUCUGUUUCACUUUGCCGUAUAAGGAGAUCUGCUUAUGUUUUUGAUUAUAAAAAACGUUAACAAACGUUUUAGUUCAUGGUUAAUGAUUAAAAACGAUAGUGAGAACAAGAAUGAUAUGACAAAGAAAAGUGGACGUUGAAGGUUUCCUCUCAGCACAAGCUGCCAUAGAUGUGAUUAAAGACUCCAUGUAAGUUUGUUUUCUCCAAAACACCAGUGUAUUUUUCCUGUUUACUCUGUUACCUUAGUCACAGCAAACAAUAGUCCUGUCCUUUUGGUUUACGCCGGAACCAGCAGGAGUGUCUGAAAAUUGCAAUGCCACGGAAGGAAAUUUAACGGCACGGAAAUUUUAAAUGGACGCUAAUAAAUUGCCGAAAGAAUAAAAUAUAGGACUUAGCUGACGCCAAAAAAUUCAGCGUCCCUUUUCUUCCUCGCGAUCAGCCGCAGCGUCAAGAGAAACAGGCUGGCGGUGUUUCAUGAGUGAUGCGCUGGGUUGUGUUUUGCGGUGGUUAUAAUUAAUUUUUCAGACGCUGCCGCCGGUUUUGGAGUUAACCAAAAGAACAGGGCUAAUGUAGUGUUUUUAUGUAAACGCAGGGAUCUCUACGCAUCUUACAUCAAAGCUGUCUUGCAGCGUUAGUGAACAUACCGGUCGAAUCCGUUCCUCCAGGUUUGCGUUGAUUCCUUCUCCGGGUCGCUGGAGAACAAACUCACUAUUCUAGGUUUUAUGUUGAGACCCGAACGAUCUUUGUCAACCGGUGAAUGAAUGGAAUCGGCAAGCUGGAAUCCUGACGCCGUUGUUUCUAUAAUCGUCCUAAACACAUCUCUAAUUGUACUUGAAACAACACCUCUAACAAAUGACUGGUGAGUGUAUAUGGGAGGAUUUUGGAUGGGUUUUGUUAGAUAGACUGAAAGAUGUCUCUGCAGAGAAUAAUCAAUAUUCUAAGGCAAGAAACAUGGAAGGGUAAUAUAGAACGGGGAAUAUCCGAAGGAUUCUUUUACAUGCGUUUGGGGAAGACGCAUCACCAAAAGUGAGGAUCUGCGGGAAAAUGAAUGCCAAGGUUUUAAGGAAGAAGUCGUGAGAAAGAAAGAGAAGUGUAUUAUGCUUAGUGGAUGUCCGACUGAUCAGACUUCAGAGUACGCACGAAGGGGCAAGUCUAUUGAACAUCCCUGAUUCUAUACAUAUCAUACUUGGUGAGAAAAUAAGUUAAGAAGAUCACAAACAAGUAACUGUUUUAAGGUGUGAGAGAGCUUCUUGAGUAUGAAUGUUAUGAUAACCAAACUGGGUUGUAUUGCAACGAUACUAAUGUGGUUGCUCCAAUCAUAUGUUGAACUGAAUUUCCAGAUUUAGUUACUUCAAAGUAUUCUGGAGUUUGUUGUUGACUCAGUUUCGAGAGCUUUGAUUUCAUUUGAAAUGAUUUGAGAAAUUAGUUGGAAUGACAUACAAUUUACUAGAAAUUACUAGAGUAACACACCAAAAAAAAAAAGGCUUCAUCUGGACUCAAAUGCCCCGUCGGUAAAAAAAUAUCAAUUAAGGUAAAAUUCCCAUUCCUAUUACUUGACCAAAAAAUGGUGAAAUCUCUUUUAAAAAAAACCAACCACGAUAUCUUUCUCUUCUGUAACUCCAAGAACCCUAAAUCCCAAAAUUGUGAAAUCCUCAAACUCUUGACUCUCUUUAGUUUUCAUCAUGAUUUCUCAUCGAUUUCGUCAUCUCCGCACCCUAAUCAACCACUAAAACCUUCGAUUCACAUAGGAGAAGUGAACCCGAAACCCAAUCGACGAACCCUAAACCCCCUUUCUAAAAUUUUCAGCUGCGUGAAUCUUAAGGCUUUCAUCACUUACAAACUCCUCUCCACAUCAAUCAGUUUAAUCCACCUAUUUUUUCCACCAAAGGUUAGUCUCUGUCAAACGAUUUUUAAUAUUCAGUAUCAAAUGAAUUUAAUUUUCACACGACACAGAGUAGAUAGAAGUGUUUUUCGUUUGUACAUUUGUUGAUAUCAGUUGGGUAUCGUCUGGGUCUGGGUCUUGGUCGUUUUUCUUCACUCUUGGUUUGUAAUACUUACUACAUCUAACAUUUCUUUUCAGACGGAUGACUACAUCAAACAGUGGAAAAAGAUAUCCAGCAAGACUUUAUGAAGAGGGGAAAUCUCCAUUACAGCAUCGAAGCAUGAAUCAUAACUGUCACUUGGCUAAUUUGCAGAUGGUGAAAGAAGAAAUUGGUUUAGAUGCGUGGGAAUCUAUUAAAACAUCAUCUGUUGGAGUUAUUCUGAAGCUGAAAGAGCUGAAUUAUACAUGGUCAGCCAAGGCGGUUCACCAUUUACUUACAAACCAAUUGGUGGUUAAUAAUAUCCAUGAGAUAUGGAGUGCUAUAGAAGGUCAGGCAAUAAGGUUUUCGCUAUAUGAGUUUGGUGAUAUUACAAGUUUAAAUUGCAAGCCUUUCAACAUAAAUGAAGAGGUGGAGAUUGAUCAUAAACCAUUUUGGGAAAAGCUUGGUGUUUCUCCUUCACAUGGUCCUAUGCUUUCUGAGUUGCGGUUGUUGUUCACUAAAGUUAGGAAUUGGACAUUUGAGGAGAGAAGAAUGUUUGGUUUACUAUGUGUCUUGUCUGUUGGAGUACUUGGCAUCUCUCCAGGCAGUAGAAUUCCUUUGGAUCAAGCAAAGAGAGUCCUAGACAUAGAAGCAUUUGAUAGAUACCCUUGGGGGCGUGUGGGAUUUUCUAGCCUGGUAAAUUCAGUGAAAAUUGUUUCAUAUGAAGAAAGGAACAAGUAUACACUUCGCGGAUGCGUGCAUGCUCUCCUCAUCUGGUUGUAUGAGUCGAUACCUGGUAUUGGACAUGAAUAUGGGAAUCAUAUUGAGGGUAACCAAGUUCCUCUUCUCUCUUGGUCUGGAUCUCGUGGCCGUAUAAACUGGGAUUAGUUUUAUAUCAAGGAGAAAAGUCUCCAUCAGAAGGUAAGAGUCAGACAUCUCAUUGAGAAGCCAGAAGCUGAGAUAUAUCCUCAAUGGCCAGAGGACAAGGUUGAUGAUGAUCUUCACAACUUGAUCACAGACAUUCUACAUGGUGAGCUUGAUGAUACAUAUUGGAACUUGAACUCACGUACUGCACCAGUACCAAACAAAGAGAAAAAGAAAUUGGUGAGUGAAGAAGAGUGUAUGAAGAAAAAAAUGCCAAAAG